rnacentral:rRNA from 1 species
UUUAAGGUCUAACCUGCCCAAUGAGGAUUUAAAUGGCCGCAGUAUUUUGACUGUGCAAAGGUAGCAUAAUUAUUAGUUUUUUAAUUGAAAGCUUGUAUGAAGGGUUGGACGAGGUAAAAUCUGUCUUUAUUUAAAUCAAAGUAUAAUUUAACUUUUAAGUCAAAAGGCUUAAAUGUUUAUAAAAGACGAGAAGACCCUAUAGAUCUUUAUUUAAUUAAGAUUUUAAUAAUUUAGGAUUAUUUUAAUUUGGAAUUUUAAUUAAAUUUUAUUGGGGUAAUAUAAAGAUUAAAUAAAUUCUUUUUAUUUAUAACAUUAAUUUAUGAAUAUAUGAUCCAUUAAUAUUGAUUAUAAGAUUAAGUUACCUUAGGGAUAACAGCGUAAUUUUUUUGGAGAGCUCAUAUCGAUAAGAAAGUUUGCGACCUCGAUGUUGGAUUAAAAAUUAGCUUGGGUGCAGAAGCUCAAGAUUUUGGUCUGUUCGACCAUUAAAUUUUUACAUGAUCUGAGUUCAGACCGGCGUAAGCCAGGUCGGUUUCUAUCUUUAUUUAGAUAAAAUAUUUUAGUACGAAAGGACCAAGUAUUUAAUAUAAUUAUAUUUAUUUUUUGAAGAAUAUU